GACGAACGCUGGCGGCGUGCCUAAUACAUGCAAGUCGAACGCAGUGGGGACGGGUGAGUAACACGUGGGUAACCUCCCAUCAGAGGGGAUAACACUUGGAAACAGGUGCUAAACCGAUACUGAUGGAUGAACCCGCGGUGCAUUAGCUAGUUGGUGAGGUAACGGCUCACCAAGGCCACGAUGCAUAGCCGUCCUUGGAGGGUGAUCGGCCAAAUUGGGGCUUAGACACGGCCCAGCCUCCUACGGGAGGAAGCAGUAGGGAAUCUUUGGCAAUGGACAAAAGUCUGACCGAGCAACGCCGCGUGAGUGAAGAAUGUUUUCGGAUCGUAAAACUCUGUUGUUAGAUAAGCGGUAUCUAACCAAAAAGCCACGGCUAACUACGUGCCAGCAGCCGCGGUAAUAC
rnacentral:rRNA from 1 species